ensembl:snRNA U6 U6 spliceosomal RNA
GUUUGUUUCAGCAGCACAUAUACUAAAAAUUGGAAUGAGACAAAGAAAGUUAGCAUGGUCCCUGCAUGGGGACCCUGGCAAAUUCAUAAAGUGGUCUAUAUUUUU